rnacentral:rRNA from 1 species
AAAACAUGUCCUGUUGAAAAUUUAUUUCAGGUCUGGCCUGCCCACUGAUUAUUAUUGAAGGGCCGCGGUAUUUUGACCGUGCGAAGGUAGCAUAAUCAUUUGUCUUUUAAUUGUAGGCUUGAAUGAAUGGUUUUAUGAGAUAUAAACUUUCUUUAUUUUAUUAAAAUAAAUUUAAUUUUUUAGUUAAAAAGCUAAAAUUGUUCUGUUGGACGAGAAGACCCUAUAGAAUUUUAUAAAUCAAUUCUUUUCUUUAUUUGGUAAUUUAUGUGGAAGAGUUUUAUUAUUUAUUUUGUUGGGGCGAUGGGGAAAUUUCAUAAACUUUCUUUAUAUAUUAUAUUAUUGAUUUAUAUAUUAUUGAUCCUGUAUUUACGGAUAAUAAGAUUAAAUUACCUUAGGGAUAACAGCGUAAUUCUUAUGGAGAGUUCAUAUCGAUAUUGGAGUUUGCGACCUCGAUGUUGGAUUAAAAUUAGAUUAUAGUGUAGCAGCUA